rnacentral:rRNA from 1 species
GGUUAAGCGACUAAGCGUACACGGUGGAUGCCCUGGCAGUCAGAGGCGAUGAAGGACGUGCUAAUCUGCGAUAAGCGUCGGUAAGGUGAUAUGAACCGUUAUAACCGGCGAUUUCCGAAUGGGGAAACCCAGUGUGAUUCGUCACACUAUCAUUAACUGAAUCCAUAGGUUAAUGAGGCGAACCGGGGGAACUGAAACAUCUAAGUACCCCGAGGAAAAGAAAUCAACCGAGAUUCCCCCAGUAGCGGCGAGCGAACGGGGAGCAGCCCAGAGCCUGAAUCAGUGUGUGUGUUAGUGGAAGCGUCUGGAAAGGCGCGCGAUACAGGGUGACAGCCCCGUACACAAAAAUGCACAUGCUGUGAGCUCGAUGAGUAGGGCGGGACACGUGGUAUCCUGUCUGAAUAUGGGGGGACCAUCCUCCAAGGCUAAAUACUCCUGACUGACCGAUAGUGAACCAGUACCGUGAGGGAAAGGCGAAAAGAACCCCGGCGAGGGGAGUGAAAAAGAACCUGAAACCGUGUACGUACAAGCAGUGGGAGCACGCUUAGGCGUGUGACUGCGUACCUUUUGUAUAAUGGGUCAGCGACUUAUAUUCUGUAGCAAGGUUAACCGAAUAGGGGAGCCGAAGGGAAACCGAGUCUUAACUGGGCGUUAAGUUGCAGGGUAUAGACCCGAAACCCGGUGAUCUAGCCAUGGGCAGGUUGAAGGUUGGGUAACACUAACUGGAGGACCGAACCGACUAAUGUUGAAAAAUUAGCGGAUGACUUGUGGCUGGGGGUGAAAGGCCAAUCAAACCGGGAGAUAGCUGGUUCUCCCCGAAAGCUAUUUAGGUAGCGCCUCGUGAAUUCAUCUCCGGGGGUAGAGCACUGUUUCGGCAAGGGGGUCAUCCCGACUUACCAACCCGAUGCAAACUGCGAAUACCGGAGAAUGUUAUCACGGGAGACACACGGCGGGUGCUAACGUCCGUCGUGAAGAGGGAAACAACCCAGACCGCCAGCUAAGGUCCCAAAGUCAUGGUUAAGUGGGAAACGAUGUGGGAAGGCCCAGACAGCCAGGAUGUUGGCUUAGAAGCAGCCAUCAUUUAAAGAAAGCGUAAUAGCUCACUGGUCGAGUCGGCCUGCGCGGAAGAUGUAACGGGGCUAAACCAUGCACCGAAGCUGCGGCAGCGACACUAUGUGUUGUUGGGUAGGGGAGCGUUCUGUAAGCCUGUGAAGGUGUGCUGUGAGGCAUGCUGGAGGUAUCAGAAGUGCGAAUGCUGACAUAAGUAACGAUAAAGCGGGUGAAAAGCCCGCUCGCCGGAAGACCAAGGGUUCCUGUCCAACGUUAAUCGGGGCAGGGUGAGUCGACCCCUAAGGCGAGGCCGAAAGGCGUAGUCGAUGGGAAACAGGUUAAUAUUCCUGUACUUGGUGUUACUGCGAAGGGGGGACGGAGAAGGCUAUGUUGGCCGGGCGACGGUUGUCCCGGUUUAAGCGUGUAGGCUGGUUUUCCAGGCAAAUCCGGAAAAUCAAGGCUGAGGCGUGAUGACGAGGCACUACGGUGCUGAAGCAACAAAUGCCCUGCUUCCAGGAAAAGCCUCUAAGCAUCAGGUAACAUCAAAUCGUACCCCAAACCGACACAGGUGGUCAGGUAGAGAAUACCAAGGCGCUUGAGAGAACUCGGGUGAAGGAACUAGGCAAAAUGGUGCCGUAACUUCGGGAGAAGGCACGCUGAUAUGUAGGUGAAGUCCCUCGCGGAUGGAGCUGAAAUCAGUCGAAGAUACCAGCUGGCUGCAACUGUUUAUUAAAAACACAGCACUGUGCAAACACGAAAGUGGACGUAUACGGUGUGACGCCUGCCCGGUGCCGGAAGGUUAAUUGAUGGGGUUAGCGCAAGCGAAGCUCUUGAUCGAAGCCCCGGUAAACGGCGGCCGUAACUAUAACGGUCCUAAGGUAGCGAAAUUCCUUGUCGGGUAAGUUCCGACCUGCACGAAUGGCGUAAUGAUGGCCAGGCUGUCUCCACCCGAGACUCAGUGAAAUUGAACUCGCUGUGAAGAUGCAGUGUACCCGCGGCAAGACGGAAAGACCCCGUGAACCUUUACUAUAGCUUGACACUGAACAUUGAGCCUUGAUGUGUAGGAUAGGUGGGAGGCUUAGAAGUGUGGACGCCAGUCUGCAUGGAGCCGACCUUGAAAUACCACCCUUUAAUGUUUGAUGUUCUAACGUUGACCCGUAAUCCGGGUUGCGGACAGUGUCUGGUGGGUAGUUUGACUGGGGCGGUCUCCUCCUAAAGAGUAACGGAGGAGCACGAAGGUUGGCUAAUCCUGGUCGGACAUCAGGAGGUUAGUGCAAUGGCAUAAGCCAGCUUGACUGCGAGCGUGACGGCGCGAGCAGGUGCGAAAGCAGGUCAUAGUGAUCCGGUGGUUCUGAAUGGAAGGGCCAUCGCUCAACGGAUAAAAGGUACUCCGGGGAUAACAGGCUGAUACCGCCCAAGAGUUCAUAUCGACGGCGGUGUUUGGCACCUCGAUGUCGGCUCAUCACAUCCUGGGGCUGAAGUAGGUCCCAAGGGUAUGGCUGUUCGCCAUUUAAAGUGGUACGCGAGCUGGGUUUAGAACGUCGUGAGACAGUUCGGUCCCUAUCUGCCGUGGGCGCUGGAGAACUGAGGGGGGCUGCUCCUAGUACGAGAGGACCGGAGUGGACGCAUCACUGGUGUUCGGGUUGUCAUGCCAAUGGCACUGCCCGGUAGCUAAAUGCGGAAGAGAUAAGUGCUGAAAGCAUCUAAGCACGAAACUUGCCCCGAGAUGAGUUCUCCCUGACUCCUUGAGAGUCCUGAAGGAACGUUGAAGACGACGACGUUGAUAGGCCGGGUGUGUAAGCGCAGCGAUGCGUUGAGCUAACCGGUACUAAUGAACCGUGAGGCUUAACCUU